rnacentral:rRNA from 1 species
AGUGAACGCUGGCGGUAGGCCUAACACAUGCAAGUCGAACGGCAGCACAGUAAGAGCUUGCUCUUACGGGUGGCGAGUGGCGGACGGGUGAGGAAUACAUCGGAAUCUACUUUUUCGUGGGGGAUAACGUAGGGAAACUUACGCUAAUACCGCAUACGACCUACGGGUGAAAGCAGGGGAUCUUCGGACCUUGCGCGAUUGAAUGAGCCGAUGUCGGAUUAGCUAGUUGGCGGGGUAAAGGCCCACCAAGGCGACGAUCCGUAGCUGGUCUGAGAGGAUGAUCAGCCACACUGGACCUGAGACACGGUCCAGACUCCUACGGGAGGCAGCAGUGGGAAAUAUUGGACAAUGGGCGCAAGCCUGAUCCAGCCAUACCGCGUGGGUGAAGAAGGCCUUCGGGUUGUAAAGCCCUUUUGUUGGGAAAGAAAAGCAGCAGGUUAAAACCCCGCUGUUCUGACGGUACCAAAAGAAUAAGCACCGGCAAACUUGGU